GCACUGGCUGCGGCAGCACAGACACUAAAAUUGGAGUGACACAGAGGAGUGAGCAGGGCCCUUGCGCAAGGAUGACAUGCAAAUUCGUGAAGCCUUCCAUAUUUUU
ensembl:snRNA U6 U6 spliceosomal RNA